rnacentral:rRNA from 1 species
UACGUAGGGUGCGAGCGUUAAUCGGAAUUACUGGGCGUAAAGCGUGCGCAGGCGGUUCGUUGUGUCGGCGGUGAAAGCCCCGGGCUCAACCUGGGAACUGCAUCUGUGACUGCAUAGCUAGAGUACGGUAGAGGGGGAUGGAAUUCCGCGUGUAGCAGUGAAAUGCGUAGAUAUGCGGAGGAACACCGAUGGCGAAGGCAAUCCCCUGGACCUGUACUGACGCUCAUGGCACGAAGGCG